CACGUAGGGCGCGAGCGUUGUCCGGAAUUAUUGGGCGUAAAGAGCUCGUAGGCGGCCUGUUGCGUCCGCUGUGAAAGCCCGGGGCUUAACCCCGGGUCUGCAGUGGAUACGGGCAGGCUAGAGGUAGGUAGGGGAGAAUGGAAUUCCCGGUGUAGCGGUGAAAUGCGUAGAUAUCUGGAAGAACACCAAUGGCGAAGGCAGUGUCCUGGGAGGCAUCUGACGCUCAGGUGCGAAAGCCAGGGGAGCGAACGGG
rnacentral:rRNA from 1 species